UACGUAGGGUGCAAGCGUUAAUCGGAAUUACUGGGCGUAAAGGGCUCGUAGGCGGCCAACUAAGUCGGAUGUGAAAUCCCCAGGCUUAACCUGGGAACUGCAUCCGAUACUGGAUGGCUUGAAUCCGGGAGAGGGAUGCGGAAUUCCAGGUGUAGCGGUGAAAUGCGUAGAUAUCUGGAGGAACACCGGUGGCGAAGGCGGCAUCCUGGACCGGCAUUGACGCUGAGGCGCGAAAGCCAGGGGAGCAAACGGG
rnacentral:rRNA from 1 species